rnacentral:tRNA from 1 species
CGGGAAGUGGGUUAGUUGGCUAUACCGCCAGGUUCGGGACUUGGAGGUCGCGGGUUCAAAUCCCGCCUUCCCGA